rnacentral:rRNA from 1 species
UGCCUAAUACAUGCAAGUCGAGCGAACAGAUGAGAAGCUUGCUUCUCUGAUGUUAGCGGCGGACGGGUGAGUAACACGUGGGUAACCUACCUAUAAGACUGGGAUAACUCCGGGAAACCGGGGCUAAUACCGGAUAAUAUUUUGAACCGCAUGGUUCAAUAGUGAAAGACGGUUUCGGCUGUCACUUAUAGAUGGACCCGCGCCGUAUUAGCUAGUCGGUAAGGUAACGGCUUACCAAGGCGACGAUACGUAGCCGACCUGAGAGGGUGAUCGGCCACACUGGAACUGAGACACGGUCCAGACUCCUACGGGAGGCAGCAGUAGGGAAUCUUCCGCAAUGGGCGAAAGCCUGACGGAGCAACGCCGCGUGAGUGAUGAAGGUCUUCGGAUCGUAAAACUCUGUUGUUAGGGAAGAACAAAUUUGUUAGUAACUGAACAAGUCUUGACGGUACCUAACCAGAAAGCCACGGCUAACUACGUG